CCAUUGGUGGUUCAGUGGUAGAAUUCUAGCUUGCCAUGUUGGAGACCUGGGUUCAAUUCCCAGCCAAUGCA
rnacentral:tRNA from 1 species